UACGAAGGUGGCAAGCGUUACUCGGAAUUACUAGGCGUAAAGGGCAGGUAGGUGGUUCGGUAAGUCUAUUGUGAAAGCUCCCGGCUUAACUGGGAGAGGUCAACAGAAACUACCGGGCUUGAGUAUGGGAGAGGGUACUGGAAUUCCCGGUGUAGCGGUGAAAUGCGCAGAGAUCGGGAGGAACACCUAUGGCGAAAGCAGGUACCUGGACCAUUACUGACACUCAGCUGCGAAAGCUAGGGGAGCAAACAGG
rnacentral:rRNA from 1 species